UAAUACCUGUGAAGAUGCAGGUUACCCGCGACAAGACGGAAAGACCCCAUGGAGCUUUACUGCAGCUUGAUAUUGAAUUUGGGUACGAUCUGUACAGGAUAGGUGGGAGCCGUAGAACUUUGAGCGCCAGCUUGAAGGGAGGCAUCCUUGGGAUACCACCCUGAUCGUAUCUAGGUUCUAACUUGGUACCGUGAUCCGGUACGAGGACAGUGUCAGGUGGGCAGUUUGACUGGGGCGGUCGCCUCCUAAAGAGUAACGGAGGCGCCCCAAGGUUCCCUCAGAAUGGUUGGAAAUCAUUCGAAGAGUGCAAAGGCAGAAGGGAGCUUGACUGCGAGACCUACAAGUCGAGCAGGGACGAAAGUCGGGCUUAGUGAUCCGGUGGUACCGCAUGGAAGGGCCAUCGCUCAACGGAUAAAAGCUACCCUGGGGAUAACAGGCUUAUCUCCCCCAAGAGUCCACAUCGACGGGGAGGUUUGGCACCUCGAUGUCGGCUCAUCGCAUCCUGGGGCUGAAGUAGGUCCCAAGGGUUGGGCUGUUCGCCCAUUAAAGCGGUACGCGAGCUGGGUUCAGAACGUCGUGAGACAGUUCGGUCCCUAUCUGUCGUGGGCGUAGGAAAUUUGAGAGGAGCUGUCCUUAGUACGAGAGGACCGGGAUGGACGUACCGCUGGUGUACCAGUUGUUCCGCCAGGAGCACCGCUGGGUAGCUAUGUACGGAAGGGAUAAGCGCUGAAAGCAUCUAAGCGUGAAGCCCCCCUCAAGAUGAGAUUUCCCAGUAUGUAAGACCCCUUGAAGACGACGAGGUAGAUAGGUUGGGGGUGGAAGUGCAGUAAUGCAUGGAGCUGACCAAUACUAAUCGGUCGA
rnacentral:ncRNA from 1 species